UGGGACUUGAUUUGGGUCAUUGACUGGCUACACUUCAAGGGUAUUUUGUCAAAACUACAAGUCAAAAAACAAUUGAUAUUUUGAUGAGGAUUACCAUGAAUGUAUUUGCUUUAUGAAAGUAGAACUGGCCAUCACUUUUUUGAGAACUGUGUAUAGAUAUUAUUUUGCUACAUUUUAAUAUUGUGAUGAACCAAAUUUGAUAGGAAAUGCCGGCUGACCGAUAUAUGAAGCUAGAUUGCCACUGACUGUGUAUAUGAAAAAUCGUCUCUCUCCAUAACAAAGAAAAAAGAAAAAUGUUGUAUUUCUCUUUUCAGAUCCCUAAGUAAAUAAGCUUUAGAAGAAUGAAGAACCAGUUGGAGAAACCAGCAUUAUUGUAAAAUGGCAAAAAGAAUUCAGUGUAAGAAUUGGAAGACUGCCAAUGAAAGAUCCUUGAAUGACUAAGCAUUACAAGUAUGAAGAUCCUGUGGCAGAGAUCCAACCUUAUAUAAAAUGGUGUUGGUGCAUUUUUUCUUCAGUGAACCUUAUGAACAUCACAUAAGUUAAGGCUGAACAAAUUCUAUGCAAGAAUUGGGAGAACGUGACCAAUGAAAGAUCCCUAAAUGAAUAUGGAUUAGAAGAAUGAAGAACCAGUCAGAGAAAGCAACUUUGUGAAAUGAAGAUGGUGUGUCUUCCAUGAACUUGGAAAUUUAAGAUCAGUUCUGGAGAAGCAGACCAUCUAUAAAAAGAAAAUGGAUGUAUUCUCUUCGGUGUUUAUUGCAGUCCUGAGUAUUUUAAGAUUGGUAUGUGUCCAAAAGUAAGUGGAAUGUAAGUAUGUAAUGUUAGAAUCGGCUUUAUUGGGGGAAAGUUUUAGUGACUUCAGUGCUUUUGUAUUCAUUUUCCAAAAUUAUUUAUUACAGUAACAGAUUAGUGCUCUUUCAUGAUAUGAAUAUUAUAAAAUACAACCAUGUGGGUGUAUGUAUGGCAUGCAGCCAAAUUAGCUUUGCAGCCACCCUGCCGGCUCAAGCCCAUCAUGCCAGACGAAUACCAAGCAGGGCUGGAGGCUAAGUGUUGCUAACUACGAACAGUAUUGACUAGUGUCCCCCAUAUUGUUAACUAAAAUGAUAAUUUUGGGGAGGAACUAGCAUUGUUUAUAUAUAUAUAUAUAGGCAUAGCAUCAGCCUCCACCUAAAUUGUUUUAUAUGUAGAAGUCGAUAGGAUGAGUGGAAGUAUAAGUUGAAGUGAUUUAUGAAUAUCUGAAUCUCCUUAUUAUAUUUAAGGUUCAGUAGUUAGUUAAUAAACUAACCAAAAACAGUACAUUUCCCCAAAAUGCUGCAUUUUGAACUUGCUAUUGUGAAAUUGAUAGAAUGCCUUAUAUGAUGUAGCUUAUGAUUAAUAAAAUAUG